GCGGGUCCGCCCGCCGACUGGACAAUUUAAACCCUUUGCAGUUGCAAUCAGCGUCUGAAAAACAUAAUAGUUACAACUUUCAACAACGGAUCUCUUGGUUCUGGCAUCGAUGAAGAACGCAGCGAAAUGCGAUAAGUAGUGUGAAUUGCAGAAUUCAGUGAAUCAUCGAAUCUUUGAACGCACAUUGCGCCCCUUGGUAUUCCAUGGGGCAUGCCUGUUCGAGCGUCAUUUGUACCUUCAAGCUUUGCUUGGUGUUGGGUGUUUGUCUCGCCUCUGCGUGCAGACUCGCCUUAAAACAAUUGGCAGCCGGCGUAUUGAUUUCGGAGCGCAGUACAUCUCGCGCUUUGCACUCAUAACGACGACGUCCAAAAGUACAUUUUUACACUCUUGACCUCGGAUCAGGUAGGGAUACCCGCUGAACUUAAGCAUAUCAAUAAGCGGAGGAAAAGAAACCAACAGGGAUUGCCCUAGUAACGGCGAGUGAAGCGGCAACAGCUCAAAUUUGAAAUCUGGCGUCUUUGGCGUCCGAGUUGUAAUUUGCAGAGGGCGCUUUGGCAUUGGCAGCGGUCCAAGUUCCUUGGAACAGGACGUCACAGAGGGUGAGAAUCCCGUACGUGGUCGCUAGCCUUUACCGUGUAAAGCCCCUUCGACGAGUCGAGUUGUUUGGGAAUGCAGCUCUNAAUGGGAGGUAAAUUUCUUCUAAAGCUAAAUACUGGCCAGAGACCGAUAGCGCACAAGUAGAGUGAUCGAAAGAUGAAAAGCACUUUGGAAAGAGAGUUAAAAAGCACGUGAAAUUGUUGAAAGGGAAGCGCUUGCAGCCAGACUUGCCUGUAGUUGCUCAUCCGGGUUUCUACCCGGUGCACUCUUCUAUAGGCAGGCCAGC
rnacentral:rRNA from 1 species